UUACUGAAAUAAAUGAACUUUUGCAUGAUAUUCUAAUUUUUCGAGUUUCACCUGUAUCUGGAUCACGCGAUCUGGUAGCGCCACCAACAGGAGGCUCCUCCUACCUGCCCGGAUGUCAUCACGUCCCGUUUUUUACCUUCUGCGCAUGUGUGAAACGUGCUUAUAUUUGCGAACCAGUAGCGAAGAAAUAAAAAUGCACAUUUGGGAUCCAAGUCCAACUCAAGUGUGCCUACAGAUAUGCAACAGUUUUUAUACCAGAAAACCACAACUACACAUCAGAAUUUCCUUAUGUUUCAUCACGUGAUCCUGAUUUAUUGGAGACAUGUAACAUCCAGUGACUCCGAAUUAACACCCAGCAACAAUCAGUUCAAGCAUCUUAUUUUUUAUACAUCUAUGGAAAUUGUAAUAGUCACAACUCUCCUGAAGGUUUUUCUGAUGUAAAAUAUAGCCACUGUCAGAGAACAUGCUAUUUCCAUAGUGAGUUAAAAGAGAUGCAAUUCAAGUGAAGAUCGACUUCCUGGUGAUUGUUGGAAUGAUCUGCAGGGUACAAAUUGUCCAAAAAAGGCCAUGUAUUUUACUGUACAAUAGCAUGUUAUAGAGGGUAGAACAAUAAACAGCGGAUGAAAGCUCAUUAAAGACAGAGCCAACCUUGAACAAAGGAGAAAUUUCCUGAUAGUAAGAACAGUUUAACAGCUUGCCAUCUGGGUGCUCCAUCAUUGGAAUUUUGAUGAAAACAUUGGACAACCAUUUGUCCAGGUCUCCUGCCAUAGGCAGCUGGUUGGACUAAAAAAUUCAAGGUCCAAGAUCUCUUCCAACCCUAUGAUUCUAUUCUGUUCUAUUCUUUCCUAUUCUUUUCUCUCCUGUUCUGUCCUGUCCUGUCCUGUCCUGUCCUGUCCUGUCCUGUCCUGUCCUAUCCUAUCCUAUCCUAUCCUAUCCUAUCCUAUCCUAUCCUAUCCUAUCCUAUCCUAUCCUAUCCUAUCCAAUUGACAGGACCAAAUGUGUAGGAGACUUGUGUCUGAAUUCCAGCUCACACAAGCAGAAAGCAGCUGCAACUGCCCAUUCCAUUAUGGCCUUUAUUUCAGAUCCACAUCACAUUUGCUCAACUUUUUUUUUUUUUUUAAUUUGAUUUAUAUGCUGCCCUUCUCCGGAGACUCAGGGCGGCUUACAAUGUGUUAAGCAAUAGCCUUCAUACUUUUGUAUAUUUAUACAAAGUCAUCUUAUUGCCCCCACAAUCUGGGUCCUCAAGUUGAGGUAUGUUCUUGGGUGAUCAAAUAAAAAUACUUCAUAAUAUUUUGGAGGGGUUUUGAGCUUCAGCACACAUGGGAUGUUCUGAAUAUUUCAUGCUUAGUAUCUGCAUGAAAUUGCUGGAUGAGGUCACCCAACAAGACAUCCUGAAGGUGCUUUUUCAAAAGGCAACUGGUUUUUUUUUUUUUUUUUGGUUUUUUUCUUGAAAGCGUUUCACUUCUCAUCCAAGAUGUUCUUCAGUUCUGACUGAAUGGUGGAGAAUGGAAAGAUUCUUAUUCUUUGCAUCAUCUGGUCGUUAACAUUCUUUCUUGGCACAGAUAAACUUGGAGGUUUAUCUGUGCCCUCAGUGGAUACUGAAUACUGCAAAUGGGAGUGGAACAUUAUUGGAAUUGCUGAAAGGACUGUGAUGUAAACAGAAGAUAGGUGGUGUUGUAUUCCUGCCCCUGUGUUGAGAGAGUACUGUUAAUAUUAA